GGGGAUGUAGCUCAGUGGUAAAGUGCUUGCCUAGCAUGCAUGAGGCCUGGGUUGGAUCCUCAGCACCACCA
rnacentral:tRNA from 1 species